rnacentral:tRNA from 1 species
GCCUCCGUAGCUCAGUUGGACAGAGCAGCGGACUUCUAAGCCGUUGGUCGAGGGUUCGAAUCCCUCCGGAGGCA